UGCUGGGGCAAAUCUUUUUAGCCAGACUUUCCUUGUAGUAUUUGAAUUCUGACAAUAAUUUGGUGAAUUUGCAGGUUUUCUGUUUGCCUGGUGGACUAUCUCCUUCCGUUUCACAUUGGAUAGUAUUGGGCGCUGGACCGUGUACAUGAGAGCCGAAGCGAGUUCUUUUGUUGCUUCGUAGUUGGUGCUUCUUAAUUCCUAACAUUUAAUAUCGUGGGUUUUCGGAAUAGUCAAGAACAUGGUUAGAUGACUUUUAACUCGCCCUGGUUAAAAAGGUUGGCAUGGUGUGCUGUUUUAGACCUUUAUAUAAAUGUAUAAUCAACUGUUACCUUCUGUUGUUAUCGUAACUUCUGCUUCUUGCUGCCAACAACACUAUCAUGCAUAUGUGCCUAAAGCAACUACAAUACAAAAUUGUGCUGAUAAACAUGUUGCUUUUAUCUUUUUUCGCCUUGUCUUCAUUACCAAGAAUUGAGUUUUAUAAACAUGUUGCUCUUUAUCUUUUUCAGAAAGAACAAAAGUUUUACAGGGGCUGCUCGAAGCGAGUUGCAAUACUCACCGUGGCAUUGAUAUGCAUAAAUUGACUUACUUUUUCUUUGUAUCAACUAGAAGUGUAGAAGUGAGUAUUUCCACUACUCACACUUGUCUCCUAUCUACAGAAGAAAGACGGCGAGAUGAUUUGGAGUCUCUUGGUCAUGUGCUUCUGUACUUCAUAAGAGGAAGGUAUGAUGUUUUCCCUAGUUUUGAUUCUACGGCAUGCAUUUAUGAUCGAGUAUCUUUUUCUGCCAAAUCGUUUGAAAUUAAUCUUAGAGCUCAACCUUGCUGGGUGGUAGUGUUUUCCUCUCCUACUGGGUUUGGGUGUCGUAACUAGUGAUACUGCCAAAUUAUGCGACACUAUUGAAAUCAAUGAAAUGUGUACUCCUAGCUAUAUCUAUUUUCUUAUGUUGACACUUUUGUGUAAAGCCCCUUCCCAGGCGGGGUUUAAAAGCCGUUACGAAGAAGCAUAAAUAUGACAGGAUAUGUGAGAAGAAGUUAUCCACUUCUAAGACAAUAUACAUAUAUUCUUAAGGUUUUUGGCCUCUCUGAGUUGUGCUCAACUGAUGUUUAAUGAAUCUCAUUAGGUGGACUGUCUCUGUUCUGACACACGUCAGCAUCUAACUUUACAGCCACCUCCCAUGGCGUCUGGAGGUCGUGCAACUGCAAUAUCAACAGAUGUUAAUAUCAGUUGUGGUGAGCUCAUGGAAGAAUAGAUGUUGACCUAAUUGUUUGUAAGGCACCAAGGAAACAUGAGUUGAACUGCCAUGGAAGGUGGGAGCAGAGAUGUAACACCCAACAUCUGCAAUUGCUAAUAGCAGGUUAUAGGAAUGAGAGAAAAAUUUCGCAGAAGAACAUAAAAUGCUUGUGAAUUUCAUAAUAUACGGUUUCUCUUACCAAUUGCUUGGCAGAAGAUUUUGUUUUGACGAUGGAAACAAAACCAGCUACUUGGGUGACCAUUCCUGCUGCCCGAGGCAUGGCCAAGGCUUGAAAUUUCAGUUGUCAACAAGGGUUGUGAGGCGUUUCAUGAUGGAAACCAGCUACUUGGGUGACCAUUCCUGCUGCCUGAGGCAUGCCCAAGGGUUGAAGUUUUAGUUGUCAUCAUGGGUUGCGAGGCAUUUCUACUGGAGGAACCUGAAAGAGCAACUGUGCUGGAUGUAGCACGCCCACUUUCAACGAAGCUGCUCAUUAUCUGCAACAAACAAUAAACCAUCCAUUCAUACAAGUUAAAGAUCCAGUCUGAGCCAAGUAACAGAGUGGUAUUGAGAACUAAUAACAAAGAGGAAAUGGCACUGCAUGAUUACUUACAGAAUUCUCAAUAGGCUUAAAAGAACUCGAAAUCCUCUGUAUUGACCAUUUAAACGCAGUUGUAUCCCAGGGCGAGUAGCAUGAGUGGAGACAACACGGUCGGUGACUUCAGACGAACAAGAAGCACCAUAUCCCCCUGAAGUUGAAAUGACGACAGUGUAAUGAUGUUAUUUGACAAGGAUCAUUUCAUACAUUAUCAUAUUUAAAAGCUCAAUACUAGCUUUCAUCCCCCUGAAGUUGAAAUGACGACAGUAUAAUGAUGUUAUUUGAGAAGGAUCUUAUUCUUGAGGAAGUUUAUCAUAAA